rnacentral:lncRNA from 1 species
CAAGAUGGUGGGCAGAUGGGAUGUGAGUAGUAACCACUUACUGAGGUUCCAGCAGACAGAAAGAGCAGGCAUUUGGUUUCCAUUUUUAGAGGUGCUUUCAUUUUGACAUUUAUUUUAGACUUUUAUUUGUUUGUGGUAGGGUGUUGGAUGUGUGUGUUUGUGGCUUGUGUGUGCACAUAUGCACACAGACACCGUCGUAGCUUAUUGGGUAUCUCCUCAUAUCUUUCUCUAUGUUGUUUUACUUUGUGCAUGUACAGGCUUUGCUUUCUUGCUUGUACUUAUGUCUGCACACUAUGUGCCUGCCUGGUGCCUACAGAGUUCAGAAGAUUGCAUUGGAUCUUCUGGGACUGAAUUCUCAGUUGUGAGCCACUGUGUGGGUACUGGGAUUGGAACCUAGGGCCUCUGCAAGAGCAGCACUUAACCAUUGAGCUCUACUCUUAACCAUUGAGCGUCUUUUCAACCUUUGUCAUCAUUAGUUUUUGAGACAGGUGUGUCAUUUGAACUUGAAGUUCACUUCUUUUGAGUGGUAGGCUCAGAACUCCUGAAAUCCAAAUGUCUUUGUUUCCAAGUGCUGGGCCUUUGCUGGGGGUCUGAAUACAGGUUUCUUGCUUUAAAAGCAAGUUCUUUUAUCUAAUGAGCCAUAUUCUUAGCUUUUUCUUUCUUUUUUUUUUAUAUAAUGGGGGAAAGGGAGAAAAGAUGAUCAAGAAUUUGUCUUUGUAUAUGUUCUGUUUGUCCUGUUAGAAUCUCAGUUUCUACUGAAUAGGUGUAUAUUCGAGGCUCAAAGUCAAUCUUUCCUCUUGAUAUCUCAUUAGGAGUCAGCAGAAUGAACUUCAGAACUUUGCCACUUAAAGACUAAAAUCUGAGACAAUAUUUUAAUGCAAUGGAGACAACCGAAGAAAUGAUCUUGGAGGCAAAGAAUAUGCCUGUGGGAGGAGGCCCCAAGCACAGUGGAUUCUAGAAGCUAGGAAGAACAUUUCUGAAGACGAUCCAGUCACUUGUAUUGUAUGAUCAAAAGCCUAAAGAUUGAAAUUUGAAGCAUACAGUUCAGACCUUUGGUGGAGUUUAAGAUGGCAUGGGCAUUCUCUGUGCUCUUCUUCAAUGUUUAUUCACUUUUAUCAUUUUUUGAUUUGUAUGGAUGAGCCUGAGGUGCUAAAUGAUCAUUCAGUGCAGUGGGCCACAGUGUUAGAUCCCAGGGCAGGGCCCUGCUUCAACACAUGCUGUUGUCUGAACUUCUGUGACCUAAUUAACUUUUCUCUGUUUUAAAAAAUAGACUACAUUCAGUAAAUUGCCAGGCUAUAGUUAUUUUGCCAUUUUUACCUCUGGUUUUUGGUUUGCUUGGUUUUGUUUUGUUUGGUUCUUUGAAAUUCAAAAAAUCAUCAGAUCCUACUAGAAAAGCCUAUACUCAACAAAACUGGAAAAUCUGGAUUAAAUGGACAAUUUUCUACUCAGAUACCAGGUACCUAAGUUAAAUCAGGAUCAGAUAAACCAUCUAAACAGUUCAAUAACCCCUAAUGAAGUAGCAGCAGUCAUUAAAAGUUUCCCAACCC